rnacentral:tRNA from 1 species
GCUCAGGUGGUGGAAUUGGUAGACACGCACGCUUGAGGGGCGUGUGCCGAAAGGUGUAUGGGUUCAAGUCCCAUCCUGAGCACCA